rnacentral:lncRNA from 1 species
AUAAUAUACUAUUACACAUAUAUAUCUACCUGUGAUACACUACAUAACCAGAAUGGCGCAGGCUGCUUCUAAAACGUGUGAAAUUUGUGUUUCAAGUCCUGGACAUAACUACUGUGAACAGUGUGACCAGCUGUUUUGUGAUGGAUGUAAAAUAUCUCAUUUACGGACAAAGAUGAGCAAGAAUCACACAUUUCUAAGUGGCCCAAAUAUAAACCCGGAAGUUAAACUAUAUUGUAAAGAACAUGAUGAAAACUUUAUAUAUUAUUGCAUGGAAUGUAGUUUACCAGUCUGUAAGAUAUGUGCUAUUAAAAAUCACAAAAAACAUGAUCUGUCGGAGAUUAAGGAAUCACUUGAAAAUAUCAAGGCUGAAGUAAAAAUUGAUGUUGAAACGAAAAUUAAAAAGCUACAGUCAAAUAUACAUGAUAUAGCAGAAAUCGAUCAAGGUACCCAUACACAUCAAGCUGAUGUACAGAAAGUUAUCCAGGCUAUAACAGAAGAAGGCAGACACUUGAAAGAGAUGAUUGAUAAAAAAGUCGAAGGUCUAAUUAACAGGUUGAAGGAGAAAGACACAAGGAAUGUUAAAACCCUACAGUCUGUUGGCAAUGAGUUAAAAACAGCUUUGGAUAAGACAAAGGAGCAACAGAAAUUGUAUCAAGACACCCAGGGUAUAAAAGAUACUACGAAAUUGUUACAAAAACUAAAACAAAUAAAGUCACAAAUCGAUCAAAUAGAAGAAAUACAGAUUCCUAUUAUGCCAUCAGUUAAAUAUGCCAAAAAGACAGUAGCAGAGGGAGAAAUAGGACAAACUGUUUGGGGAACUAACAUUUGG